rnacentral:rRNA from 1 species
AGUUGAUCAUGGCUCAGGAUGAACGCUGGCGGCGUGCUUAACACAUGCAAGUCGAACGGAGGGUAGAUUUCGGUUUACCUUCAGUGGCGCACGGGUGCGUAACACGUAGCUGACCUGCCCUCGAAGAGUGGGAUAACGGAUCGAAAGAUUUGCUAAUACCGCAUAAGCUCACAUGCUUUAGAAGGCAUGAGAGAAAAGGCGAAAGCCGCUUGAGGAGGGGGCUGCGGUUCAUCAGCUAGUUGGCGGGGUAACGGCCUACCAAGGCGACGACGGAUAGGGGGCCUGAGAGGGUGGUCCCCCACACUGGGACUGAGACACGGCCCAGACUCCUACGGGAGGCAGCAGUGAGGAAUAUUGCGCAAUGGGCGAAAGCCUGACGCAGCGACGCCGCGUGGGUGAGGAAGGCCUUCGGGUCGUAAAGCCCUUUUCUGCGCGACGAGAGAGGACGGUAGCGCAGGAACAAGUCUCGGCUAACUACGUGCCAGCAGCCGCGGUAAAACGUAGGAGGCGAGCGUUAUCCGGAGUUACUGGGCGUAAAGAGCGUGUAGGCGGGUAUGCAAGUUUGGCGUGAAAGCUCCCGGCUAAACUGGGAGAGUGCGUUGAAGACUGCGUAUCUAGAGGCAAGUAGAGGGACGUGGAGUUCCGGGUGUAGUGGUGAAAUGCGUAGAGAUCCGGAGGAACACCAGUGGCGGAAGGCGACGUCCUGGGCUUGACCUGACGCUGAGACGCGACAGCACGGGGAGCGAACGGGAUUAGAAACCCCGGUAGUCCGUGCCGUAAACGAUGCACACUAGGUGCUC